CGUGUAGGCGGUUUGGUAAGUCAGAUGUAAAAGGUCCCGGCUUAACCGGGGAUGGUCAUUUGAAACUGCCAGGCUUGAGUUCGAGAGAGGGUAGCGGAAUUCCCAGUGUAGCGGUGAAAUGCGUAGAUAUUGGGAAGAACACCAGUAGCGAAGGCGGCUACCUGGCUCGCAACUGACGCUAAGGCGCGAAAGCGUGGGGAGCAAACA
rnacentral:rRNA from 1 species